CCCUUAACUGCCAACAGAUGGUAACAAUUAAGUGUCUGCAGUCUCUAUGGCUGCCUUCUGUGGAGGAGGGGGAAGUUGAUAUGGUGUGGUCUGAACACGCCCAAGAUGUAUCUUCUUAGAAAGAGCGGAUGCCUGUUGAUGAAGUGACUUUCUUUCUCCACAGGUAUAUAAGGGUUUUUAGAAGUUGUUUUGAAAUGGGUUUUGCAACUUCUUUCUGCAGUUGUUUCUCUGUGCUGUUCCAUCAGGGGGCAUAUUGAAUCUGAGCAUUAACUUAAAAUGUCAGUUGUUAACCUUUGGAGCAGUCAUUCAAUGAGCCUUUAACAUUUUAUGACAGGCAUGUAUAAUUUAGUGACUACGUUUCGUACAUCUUUUUCCGUGGAGGACUUUUUUUUUAGGACCACCAACAGGUCUUCGUCUUGGAGGCAACAGAAGUCCAAGACCAAAUCCAGAGGCACACAGAAGAGGGGAUAA
rnacentral:lncRNA from 1 species